UACGUAACCACCCGUUUCACAGUUGAAAGAUUUUAAGGCAACCAAGUUCUUCACACACAAGUCAAAAACCAAACCCCUUUAUUCUUCUUAGAUUUCAUUCUCAAAUACAUCUCCUCCGAUUUGAAAACGAUGGUUCAAUUCUGGAAACGGAAGUUUCCAUUUAGAUUCAAGAUGCAACUUUCAUAGCUUCAUGAAUUGGGCCCCAGGUUGGUUGGUGUUUGCCGACAACUGUGUCUCAUAUGUUCCAUACUGCACUACACAACCCAAAGAAGCAAAACAGGAAAUAGGGAUAUUUUGGUCUAGGCUUGCCUUCAAUCCAUGCGACAUACAGAUAACACACCUUGACUUAUCUCUUCAUUCUCCCACCCUCUAAAUAAUUUCACAAUUAUGUCAUAUUGUUCUAUUUGAACAUAAAUUUUAUGGUUUUAUUUUUUGUUUAUCUCUAAAGCCUCGUACUAAUCUUGUAUAUUCAUGAAUUGAUUUCUCUUCUUCAACCA